rnacentral:rRNA from 1 species
CACGUAGGCGGCUAGGUCCGUCCGAUGUGAAAGCCCCCGGCUCAACCGGGGAAUAGCAUCGGAUACAGCCUGGCUUGAGGACGGUUGGGGUGAGUGGAACUCCUGGUGGAGCGGUGAAAUGCGUAGAUAUCAGGAGGAACACCGGUGGCGAAAGCGGCUCACUGGACCGUUUCUGACGCUGAGGUGCGAAAGCUAGGGGAGCAAACG